rnacentral:rRNA from 1 species
CCCUUAGAUGUUCUGGGCCGCACGCGCGCUACACUGAUACGUUCAACGAGUCCAAAACCUUGAUUGAUAGGUCUGGGUAAUCUUUUGAAGACGUAUCGUGCUAGGGAUAGAUUAUUGCAAUUAUUAAUCUUCAACGAGGAAUGCCUAGUAGGCGCAAGUCAUCAGCUUGCGUCGAUUACGUCCCUGCCCUUUGUACACACCGCCCGUCGCUCCUACCGAUUGGGUGUGCUGGUGAAAUGUUCGGAUCGGCCGUUUGUCGCGGUUUCCGCGUCAUGUGGCUGAGAAGUUCAUUAAACCCUCCCACCUAGAGGAAGGAGAAGUCGUAACA